rnacentral:rRNA from 1 species
AGUCGAGCGAAUGGAUUAAGAGCUUGCUCUUAUGAAGUUAGCGGCGGACGGGUGAGUAACACGUGGGUAACCUGCCCGUAAGACUGGGAUAACUCCGGGAAACCGGGGCUAAUACCGGAUAAUAUUUUGAACUGCAUGGUUCGAAAUUGAAAGGCGGCUUCGGCUGUCACUUAUGGAUGGACCCGCGUCGCAUUAGCUAGUUGGUGAGGUAACGGCUCACCAAGGCAACGAUGCGUAGCCGACCUGAGAGGGUGAUCGGCCACACUGGGACUGAGACACGGCCCAGACUCCUACGGGAGGCAGCAGUAGGGAAUCUUCCGCAAUGGGCGAAAGCCUGACGGAGCAACGCCGCGUGAGUGAUGAAGGUCUUCGGAUCGUAAAACUCUGUUAUUAGGGAAGAACAUAUGUGUAAGUAACUGUGCACAUCUUGACGGUACCUAAUCAGAAAGCCACGGCUAACUACGUGCCAGCAGCCGCGGUAAUACGUAGGUGGCAAGCGUUAUCCGGAAUUAUUGGGCGUAAAGCGCGCGUAGGCGGUUUUUUAAGUCUGAUGUGAAAGCCCACGGCUCAACCGUGGAGGGUCAUUGGAAACUGGAAAACUUGAGUGCAGAAGAGGAAAGUGGAAUUCCAUGUGUAGCGGUGAAAUGCGCAGAGAUAUGGAGGAACACCAGUGGCGAAGGCGACUUUCUGGUCUGUAACUGACGCUGAUGUGCGAA